rnacentral:rRNA from 1 species
GGAACCUACCUUUAGGUAAAGAAUAACUAUAGGAAACUGUAGCUAAUACUUUAUACACCCUACGGGGGAAAGAUUUAUCGCCUUUAGAGGGGCCCGCGUCAGAUUAGCUUGUUGGUGAGGUAAUGGCUUACCAAGGCAAUGAUCUGUAGCUGGUUUGAGAGGACGACCAGCCACAUUGGGACUGAGACACGGCCCAGACUCCUACGGGAGGCAGCAGUGGGGAAUCUUGGACAAUGGGGGAAACCCUGAUCCAGCAAUUUCGCGUGAACGAAGAAGGCCUUAGGGUUGUAAAGUUCUUUUAGUAAGGAAGAUGAUGACGGUACUUACAGAAAAAGCUCCGGCUAACUCCGUGCCAGCAGCCGCGGUAAUACGGAGGGGGCAAGCGUUGUUCGGAAUUACUGGGCGUAAAGAGCGAGCAGGUGGUUCAUUAAGUCAAUUGUGAAAGCUCAAGGCUUAACCUUGAAAUUGCUUUUGAUACUGAUGAACUAGAGUUUGGGAGAGGAUAGUGGAAUUCUAAGUGUAGAAGUGAAAUUCGUAGAUAUUUAGAGGAACACCGAUAGCGAAGGCAACUAUCUGGCCCUUUACUGACACUCAGAAGCGAAAGCUUGGGUAGCAAACAGGAUUAGAUACCCUGGUAGUCCAUGCUGUAAACGAUGAGUGCUAGAUGUUAGAAGUUUACUUCUAGUAUCGAAGCUAACGCGUUAAGCACUCCGCCUGGGGAGUACGGCCGCAAGGCUAAAACUCAAAUGAAUUGACGGGGACCCGCACAAGCAGUGGAGCAUGUGGUUUAAUUCGACGCUACGCGAAGAACCUUACCAGCUCUUGACAUGCUAAGUUUUGGAUUUAAGAGAUUAAAUUCUUCAGUUCGGCUGGGCUUAGUACAGGUGCUGCAUGGCUGUCGUCAGCUCGUGUCGUGAGAUGUUCGGUUAAGUCCGGCAACGAGCGCAACCCUCAUCUUCAGUUACUAACAGGUUAAGCUGAGGACUCUGGAGAAACUGCCGUUGGAAAAGCGGAGGAAGGCGAGGAUGACGUCAAGUCCUCAUGGCCCUUAUGGGCUGGGCUACACACGUGCUACAAUGGUAAUUACAAUAAGUCGCGAAAUGGCAACAUUGAGCUAAUCUUUAAAAAUUAUCUUAGUUCAGAUUGUUCUCUGCAACUCGAGAGCAUGAAGUUGGAAUUGCUAGUAAUCGUGGAUCAGCAUGCCACGGUGAAUACGUUCCCGGG